GAUGCUCCUUGAGAUUGUAAGUGGGAAGGAAAAUAGGUCCUUCUCAUACUCACUCUGCAGAACAAAUCUUCUUAGCUAUAUAUGGACCAAAUGGAAUGACGGUAAUUGGGAGGAGACAAUAGAACAAGCAAUACAAGAAUCAUCCUCAUUUCAGAAACACCAAGUCCGAAGAUGCCUAGAAGUUGGUCUCCUCUGUGUUCAACAAGAUGCAGAGGACAGACCACAGAUGCUCUCAGUGGUAAUGAUGCUUCUAAAUGAAGCAACUGAUAUCCCACGCCCUAAGCUUCCUGGUUUUUACAAGGCCGAGAAUUAUAAAGAUCAGAGUGAGAUUUACUCAACGUCUGGUUCACAAUGGUAAGAUUUGAAGACUAUAUAAGACUUUGUAAUGUCCAUUCAUACACCAUUCUAAGAAUUUAAGUUGAUCAUUCAAGAAUUA